GUGGGGAAUAUUGCACAAUGGGGGAAACCCUGAUGCAGCGACGCCGCGUGAGUGAAGAAGCGCCUCGGCGCGUAAAGCUCUGUCAGCAGGAACGAUAAUGACGGUACCUGAAGAAGAAGCCCCGGCUAACUACGUGCCAGCAGCCGCGGUAAUACGUAGGGGGCAAGCGUUAUCCGGAUUUACUGGGUGUAAAGGGAGCGUAGACGGCGGGGCAAGUCUGGAGUGAAAGGCCGGGGCCCAACCCCGGGACCGCUCUGGAAACUGCCCGGCUGGAGUGCGGGAGAGGUAAGCGGAAUUCCUAGUGUAGCGGUGAAAUGCGUAGAUAUUAGGAGGAACACCAGCGGCGAAGGCGGCUUACUGGACCGUGACUGACGUUGAGGCUCGAAAGCGUGGGGAGCAAACAGGAUUAGAUACCCCAGUAGUCC
rnacentral:rRNA from 1 species